UCUUUCUCUCUCUUUUUCUCGAUCGAUCUUGAACGUGUCUCUUUCUUUCUCUCACUUGUUUCUUAUUCAAGAGAUAGAGAGAGACAGAUAAGAGUCCUUGUCCUUUCUUUCGUCUUCCUUUUCUUUUAUUUCGUUUUUCGUCGUUAGGAGGACCACAUUCGUACGACGUCAAAAUCGUCACACUACUUCCCCCCUCCCCCUUCUACUUUUAGUCUCCGAACGAUAAAAUAAAUGGCUGAACUCGCGCUGUGAUGCAAUCCGCGUUGCGUCGAGACGCUGCAACGGGCAAUGUCAAGGACACGGCUGACGGCAUGCACGAGAGAGGGAAAGAGAGAGUGAACGGAUGAGUUUGUGUGUGUAGAGAGAGAGAGAGAGAGAAAGUGUAUCCGUGUGUCUACGAUGCACGCAAAAUUUAUUUCUAUGGGGUUAUGUACGGUGUAGAGAAAAAGUGAACAUGCAGAGACGCAGAAAGAAAAUAGGAAUUAUUAAACAUUGAAAAGCCAUCGACAACAAGUGGAAAUAAAAGAGCGCAAGAAGAAAAUCAAAAAAAGAAAAGAAAAGAAAAGAAUAUCUACGAACACCGUACGUUGCGUUUACCGAAGAGGACGAGCUCGUUCGUUCUUUAAAGAGGCCAACGACUCGCGAUGGCUGACCUCUUGGCGCUCUACCGCGUUACGUUCGAGACGCUUCUACGAAAAGAAAUCCCGAGAAUUUCACGGUCGACUAGGAUGACUUUUCGAGUGAGUAACGCGGCCAGCGAACGUGCAAGCAAUGAGCAAUCAUCGAUCGAUUCUAUCUCUAGUUUGGUUAUCGGACUAUAAUGAUUCGAUGAUUACGAUCGAACGGUAUUGACUACUUACCGGAUGACGUUGGUCUACGUCAUGCACGAGUCUUCGUUUUUUCCCGUUAAACCCGUCAACGUAUACCGUUCUUAGAAACCGUCUGCACUCUACUACAAUUGCAUCGAUGCUUCUAAUGAUAUCUGUACAAAAAAUGUAUGCACAUACGAACGUAAAUAAAACGGAAAAGAAAAAAAAAAAAAA